rnacentral:snRNA from 7 species
AUACUUACCUGGACGGGGUCGACGAGCCGUCAAGAUGGCCCGUGGCCUAGGUCAGUGGCCCUUAUUGCACUCCGAGGGUGUGCUGGCUUACCAUCUCCCAACGGGAGAGUGGACGUCGUAAUUUGUUGUAGAGGGGGUACGCGUUCGCGCGGCCCCUGC